rnacentral:rRNA from 1 species
UGAGGAAUAUUGGUCAAUGGCCGUAAGGCUGAACCAGCCAAGUAGCGUGAGGGAUGACGGCCCUAUGGGUUGUAAACCUCUUUUAGACGGGGAUAAAGUGAGUGACGUGUCAUUCAUUGCAGGUACCGUCAGAAUAAGGACCGGCUAAUUCCGUGCCAGCAGCCGCGGUAAUACGGAAGGUCCGGGCGUUAUCCGGAUUUAUUGGGUUUAAAGGGAGCGUAGGCCGCGGAUUAAGCGUGUUGUGAAAUGCAGGGGCUCAACCUCUGGACUGCAGCGCGAACUGGUCCGCUUGAGUGCGCACGAGGCAGGCGGAAUUUGUGGUGUAGCGGUGAAAUGCUUAGAUAUCACGAAGAACCCCGAUUGCGAAGGCAGCUUGCCGGGGCGCGACUGACGCUGAAGC